AUUGAACGCUGGCGGCAUGCUUUACACAUGCAAGUCGAACGGUAACAGGCCUUCGGGUGCUGACGAGUGGCGAACGGGUGAGUAAUGCAUCGGAACGUGCCCAAUCGUGGGGGAUAACGUAGCGAAAGUUACGCUAAUACCGCAUAAGCCCUGAGGGGGAAAGUGGGGGACCGCAAGGCCUCACGCGAAUGGAGCGGCCGAUGUCAGAUUAGCUAGUUGGUGGGGUAAAGGCUCACCAAGGCGACGAUCUGUAGCGGGUCUGAGAGGAUGAUCCGCCACACUGGGACUGAGACACGGCCCAGACUCCUACGGGAGGCAGCAGUGGGGAAUUUUGGACAAUGGGCGCAAGCCUGAUCCAGCCAUGCCGCGUGCGGGACG
rnacentral:rRNA from 1 species